GUUUGAUCCUGGCUCAGGACGAACGCUGGCGGCGUGCUUAACACAUGCAAGUCGAACGAGGGCUUCACUUCGGUGGGGUUUCUAGUGGCGAACGGGUGAGUAACACGUGGGCAACCUGCCCCCGGCUCUGGGAUAACUCCAAGAAAUUGGGGCUAAUACCGGAUAUUCACUGCUGACCGCAUGGUUGGUGGUGGAAAGAUUUAUCGGCUGGGGAUGGGCCCGCGGCCUAUCAGCUUGUUGGUGGGGUAGUGGCCUACCAAGGCGACGAUCGGUAGCUGGUCUGAGAGGAUGACCAGCCUCACUGGGACUGAGACACGGCCCAGACUCCUACGGGAGGCAGCAGUGGGGAAUAUUGGACAAUGGGCGCAAGCCUGAUCCAGCAAUGCCGCGUGAGUGAUGAAGGCCUUAGGGUUGUAAAGCUCUUUUACCCGGGAUGAUAAUGACAGUACCGGGAGAAUAAGCUCCGGCUAACUCCGUGCCAGCAGCCGCGGUAAUAGCU
rnacentral:rRNA from 1 species